rnacentral:rRNA from 1 species
AUGGGGGCAGCCUGAUCCAGCGAUCGCCGCGUGACUGAAGAAGUAUUUCGGUAUGUAAAGGUCUAUCAGCAGGGAAGAAAAUGACGGUACCUGACUAAGAAGCCCCGGCUAACUACGUGCCAGCAGCCGCGGUAAUACGA